rnacentral:rRNA from 1 species
CUACGUGCCAGCAGCCGCGGUAAUACGUAGGUGGCAAGCGUUGUCCGGAUUUAUUAGGCGUAAAGCGAGCGCAGGCGGUUCCUUAAGUCUGAUGUGAAAGCCCCCGGCUCAACCGUGGAGGGUCAUUGGAAACUGGGAGACUUGAGUGCAGAAGAGGAGAGCGGAAUUCCAUGUGUAGCGGUGAAAUGCGUAGAUAUAUGGAGGAACACCGGUGGCGAAAGCGGCUCUCUGGCUUGUAACUGACGCUGAGGCUCGAAAGCGUGGGGAGCAAACAGGAUUAGAUACCCUGGUAGUCCACGCCGUAAACGAUGAGUGCUAGGUGUUAGACCCUUUCCGGGGUUUAGUGCCGCAGCUAACGCAUUAAGCACUCCGCCUGGGGAGUACGACCGCAAGGUUGAAACUCAAAGGAAUUGACGGGGGCCCGCACAAGCGGUGGAGCAUGUAGUUUAAUUCGAAGCAACGCGAAGAACCUUACCAGGUCUUGACAUCCCUCUGACCGCUCUAGAGAUAGAGUUUUC